rnacentral:misc_RNA from 1 species
AAGUCGUAACAAGGCCUCCGUAGGUGAACCUGCGGAAGGAUCAUUCAUAAUAAAAGUGUUUUAUGGCGCUUUUCAAACUAAUCCAUAUCCACCUUGUGUGUAAUGGUUAUUUUUUAAAAUAAACACUUUAUUUUUUAAAAUAAACACUUUAUUUUUUAAAAUAAACACUUUAUUUUUUAAAAUAAACACUUUAUUUUUUAAAAUAAACACUUCAUUUUUUAAAAUAAACACUUUAUUUUUUAAUUGCCAAUUUCUUUAAAGAUUAGUAUUAUUAUGAAUUAACUUAAUUUAAAAUAUAACUUGCAACAACGGAUCUCUUGGCUCUC